GCCCGCCACCACGCCUGGCUAAUUUUUUUGUAUUUUUAGGCAGGAGAUAAACUAUCAGAAAGGAGUCUCAGGGUGCAGCCACCCAAACAUGCAAAGUGGCCCCGGCCCCAGCCUGGUUCCCUUUGCCGGGUGAGGCUACUGGCCAUGAGGACCUCACAGAGCCCUGAGGUCCUGAACUGGGAUUCCUUGGGAGGUGUAGGGUGAAGAAAUCCAAAAGAGACCGGGUGCAGUGGCUCACACCUGCAGUCUCAGCACUUUGGGAGGCCAAGGCGGGGGGAUAAUUUGAGGUCAGGAGUUUGAGAUCAGCCUGACCAACAUGGCAAAACCCUGUCUCUACUAAAAGUAUAAAAUUAGCCAGGCGUGGUACUGGGCGUCUGUGAUCCCAGCUACUCAGGAGGCCGAGGCAGGAGAAUCGCUUGAACCCAGGAGGCGGAUGUUGUGGUGAACCAAGAUCACACCACUGCACUCCAGCCUGGGUGACACAGCAAGACUUUUUCUCCAAAAAAAAUUAAAAAAAAGAAGGAAAUCCAAAAGAAGAG
rnacentral:lncRNA from 1 species